AAAAAGAUAAGCUAAUCUAAGCUUUUGAGUUCAUACCUCAAAUAUAAAAUUAUUUUCUUUUUA
rnacentral:tRNA from 1 species